GGGGGAAAGGCUGUAGCUCAGUGGUAGAACAUCUGCUUAACAUGCAGAAGGUCCCUGGUUCAAUACCCAGUAUCUCCCA